rnacentral:rRNA from 1 species
UACGUAGGGGGCAAGCGUUGUCCGGAUUUAUUGGGCGUAAAGAGCGUGUAGGCGGCUAUGCAGGUCCGCUGUGAAACUCGAGGCUCAACCUCGAGACGUCGGUGGAAACCGCAUGGCUAGAGUUCGGCAGGGGAGACUGGAAUUCCUGGUGUAGCGGUGAAAUGCGCAGAUAUCAGGAGGAACACCGGUGGCGAAGGCGGGUCUCUGGGCCGAUACUGACACUGAGGAGCGAAAGCGUGGGAGCGAACAGG